UACGAAGGGGGCUAGCGUUGCUCGGAAUCACUGGGCGUAAAGGGUGCGUAGGCGGGUCUUAAGUCAGGGGUGAAAUCCUGGAGCUCAACUCCAGAACUGCCUUUGAUACUGGAGAUCUGAGUCGGGAGAGGUGAGUGGAACUGCGAGUGUAGAGGUGAAAUUCGUAGAUAUUCGCAAGAACACCAGUGGCGAAGGCGGCUCACUGGCC
rnacentral:rRNA from 1 species